CCACCGGCUCUUCUAAGAGCCUCCUCCGAGACUUUUAGACAAUUUUU
rfam:Phaethon lepturus contig101651, whole genome shotgun sequence.